rnacentral:rRNA from 1 species
UGAGUAACCUGCCCUUAACUCUGGGAUAAGCCUGGGAAACUGGGUCUAAUACCGGAUAUGACUCCUCAUCGCAUGGUGGGGGGUGGAAAGCUUUAUUGUGGUUUUGGAUGGACUCGCGGCCUAUCAGCUUGUUGGUGGGGUAACGGCCUACCAAGGCGACGACGGGUAGCCGGCCUGAGAGGGUGACCGGCCACACUGGGACUGAGACACGGCCCAGACUCCUACGGGAGGCAG